UACGUAGGGGCCUAGCGUUGUCCGGAUUUAUUGGGCGUAAAGAGCGUGUAGGCGGCUCGGUAAGUCCGCUGUGAAAGUCCAGGGCUCAACCCUGGAAAGCCGGUGGAAACUGUCGAGCUCGAGUCCGGAAGAGGCGAGUGGAAUUCCUGGUGUAGCGGUGAAAUGCGCAGAUAUCAGGAGGAACACCAAUGGCGAAGGCAGCUCGCUGGGACGGUACUGACACUGAGACGCGAAAGCGUGGGGAGCAAACAGG
rnacentral:rRNA from 1 species